rnacentral:rRNA from 1 species
UACGAAGGGGGCUAGCGUUGCUCGGAAUCACUGGGCGUAAAGGGCGCGUAGGCGGAUCUUUAAGUCGGGGGUGAAAGCCUGAGGCUCAACCUCAGAAUUGCCUUCGAUACUGGAGAUCUUGAGACCGGAAGAGGUAAGUGGAACUGCGAGUGUAGAGGUGAAAUUCGUAGAUAUUCGCAAGAACACCAGUGGCGAAGGCGGGUCUCUGGACAGUUCCUGACGCUGAGGCACGAAGGCCAGGGGAGCAAACAGGG